rnacentral:rRNA from 1 species
UACGAAGGGGGCUAGCGUUGCUCGGAAUCACUGGGCGUAAAGCGCACGUAGGCGGAUUGUUAAGUCAGGGGUGAAAUCCUGGAGCUCAACUCCAGAACUGCCUUUGAUACUGGCGAUCUUGAGUCCGGGAGAGGUGAGUGGAACUGCGAGUGUAGAGGUGAAAUUCGUAGAUAUUCGCAAGAACACCAGUGGCGAAGGCGGCUCACUGGCCCGGUACUGACGCUGAGGUGCGAAAGCGAUGGGGAG